UACGUAGGGCGCAAGCGUUGUCCGGAAUUAUUGGGCGUAAAGAGCUCGUAGGCGGUUUGUCGCGUCUGCUGUGAAAACCUGAGGCUCAACCUCGGGCUUGCAGUGGGUACGGGCAGACUAGAGUGCGGUAGGGGUGACUGGAAUUCCUGGUGUAGCGGUGGAAUGCGUAGAGAUCGGGAGGAACACCCGCGGCGAAGGCGGCCACCUGGACCAGACCUG
rnacentral:rRNA from 1 species